UACGAAGGGGGGCUAGCGUUGCUCGGAAUCACUGGGCGUAAAGCGCACGUAGGCGGAUUGCUAAGUCAGGGGUGAAAUCCUGGAGCUCAACUCCAGAACUGCCUUUGAUACUGGCGAUCUCGAGUCCGGGAGAGGUGAGUGGAACUGCGAGUGUAGAGGUGAAAUUCGUAGAUAUUCGCAAGAACACCCGUGGCGAAGGCGGCUCUCUGGGACGGUACUGACGCUGAGACGCGAAAGCGUGGGGAGCGAACAGG
rnacentral:rRNA from 1 species